UACGAAGGGGGCUAGCGUUGUUCGGAGUUACUGGGCGUAAAGGGCGCGUAGGCGGCGCACCAAGUCAGGCGUGAAAGCCCUGGGCUCAACCCGGGAAUUGCGCUUGAGACUGGUGUGCUUGAGUACGGGAGAGGAUAGUGGAAUUCCCAGUGUAGAGGUGAAAUUCGUAGAUAUUGGGAAGAACACCGGUGGCGAAGGCGGGCUAUCUGGACCGUAACUGACGCUGAGGCGCGAAAGCGUGGGGAGCAAACAGG
rnacentral:rRNA from 1 species